rnacentral:rRNA from 1 species
AUUGAACGCUGGCGGAAUGCUUUACACAUGCAAGUCGAGCGGCAGCGCGGGGGCAACCCUGGCGGCGAGCGGCGAACGGGUGAGUAACAUAUCGGAACGUACCCAGUCGUGGGGGAUAACUAUCCGAAAGGAUAGCUAAUACCGCAUACGUCCUGAGGGAGAAAGCGGGGGAUCGCAAGACCUUGCGCUGAUUGAGCGGCCGAUAUCAGAUUAGCUAGUUGGUGAGGUAAAGGCUCACCAAGGCGACGAUCUGUAGCGGGUCUGAGAGGAUGAUCCGCCACACUGGAACUGAGACACGGUCCAGACUCCUACGGGAGGCAGCAGUGGGGGAUUUUGGACAAUGGGCGCAAGCCUGAUCCAGCCAUGCCGCGUGAGUGAAGAAGGCCUCGGUUGUAAG